UGCCAGCCGCCGCGGUAACACGUAAGGUGCGAGCGUUGUUCGGAAUUAUUGGGCGUAAAGGGCUCGUAGGCGGAUCGACAAGUUGGGGGUGAAAUCCCGGGGCUUAACCCCGGAACUGCCCUCAAAACUGUCGAUCUAGAGACCGGGAGAGGUAAGCGGAAUUCCUAGUGUAGAGGUGAAAUUCGUAGAUAUUAGGAAGAACACCAGUGGCGAAGGCGGCUUACUGGACCGGUACUGACGCUGAGGUACGAAAGCGUGGGGAGCGAACAGGAUUAGAUA
rnacentral:rRNA from 1 species